rnacentral:rRNA from 1 species
CCUACGGGGGGCUGCAGUGGGGAAUAUUGGACAAUGGGGGCAACCCUGAUCCAGCCAUGCCGCGUGUGUGAAGAAGGCCCUCGGGUUGUAAAGCACUUUCAGUGAGGAAGAACGCCUGGUGGUUAAUACCCAUCAGGAAAGACAUCACUCACAGAAGAAGCACCGGCUAACUCCGUGCCAGCAGCCGCGGUAAUACGGAGGGUGCGAGCGUUAAUCGGAAUUACUGGGCGUAAAGCGCGCGUAGGUGGCUUGAUAAGCCGGUUGUGAAAGCCCGGGGCUCAACCUGGGAACGGCAUCCGGAACUGUCAAGCUAGAGUGCAGGAGAGGAAGGUAGAAUUCCCGGUGUAGCGGUGAAAUGCGUAGAGAUCGGGAGGAAUACCAGUGGCGAAGGCGGCCUUCUGGACUGACACUGACACUGAGGUGCGAAAGCGUGGGUAGCAAACAGGAUUAGAUACCCUGGUAGUC